rnacentral:rRNA from 1 species
GUAUAAGAGACAGCAGCAGCCACGGUAAUACAGAGGGUGCGAGCGUUAAUCGGAUUUACUGGGCGUAAAGCGUGCGUAGGCGGCUUCUUAAGUCGGAUGUGAAAUCCCUGAGCUUAACUUAGGAAUUGCAUUCGAUACUGGGAAGCUAGAGUAUGGGAGAGGAUGGUAGAAUUCCAGGUGUAGCGGUGAAAUGCGUAGAGAUCUGGAGGAAUACCGAUGGCGAAGGCAGCCAUCUGGCCUAAUACUGACGCUGAGGUACGAAAGCAUGGGGAGCAAACAGGAUUAGAUACCCCAGUAGUCCCUGUCUCUUAUAA